UACGGGGGGGGCAAGCGUUGUUCGGAAUUAUUGGGCGUAAAGGGCGCGUAGGCGGUUUCGCAUGUCCGAUGUGAAAGCCCACCUCUUAAAGGUGGAAUUGCAUCGGAAACUGCGAGACUAGAGUGCCGGAGAGGGUGGUGGAAUUCCUGGUGUAGAGGUGAAAUUCGUAGAUAUCAGGAGGAACACCGGUGGCGAAGGCGGCCACCUGGACGGUUACUGACGCUGAGGCGCGAAAGCGUGGGGAGCAAACAGG
rnacentral:rRNA from 1 species